AGACUCCACUCACGGGUCGGACGUGACGUAAGGACGGUUCCGGCUUCGGCCUCCGCCGCUGGCAGCGAUGCGGUUUGUUCUCCCUAAAAUGGCGCCGCUGAAUCUGGACAAGUAUGUGGAGAUAGCGCGGCAGUGCAAGUACCUUCCCUAGAACGACCCGAAGGUGAGCCGGGCCGGAGGCCGUCCAGCUUGCGAGGCAAGCCCCUUCCGGCGGAGGGCGCUCCGCGGUGUGAAAGGACCGGGUCCGAGGCGGCGUGACGCGGAGAACCAGGGGAGCCCGGAUCCCCCGAAUGCUGUCCAGUUCUUUGAGGGGAGAUCCCGGGGGAUGUCACGAUCCCCUGACCCUCACGGGACUCCGAGCUUAAAGACUCUCACUUUAACUCGCUCGGCCUCCCGGAGACGGAGCCGGGCCGAGCGGGUAGUGCUCCCGGGAUGGGGUCCUCCCAGCAGAGGUAACAGGAGCCGCUGUCUGCUCCAGGGACGCGGCCGCGGUGUGUUUAAGACCCUGAGAGGUGGAAGCCGGUGGGCGGGAUCGAUGCGACCAUAAUGGGAGAGAAUGACAAGUCGCCUCAGCUUCACCACUCCCCUAAAUUGCUUCUUAGGAGUGGUAGUUUUCUUCUGAUAAUUUGGAUGUGGAUCCCGUUUCUUAGCACGUUGCUGAGCUAUUUAAGUGAACAAGCAGUUGCUUAUCAAUAAGUUCAAAUGUUUUUAUGACCUCUGAGCUGUUCCCCUGUAACUCAAAGUGUCGUUUUCUUGGUUUUCCAAAGUAGGUCUUACUCAGUUCAAUAGGACCGUUAAAGUAGCUUGGCCAUGGUGGCGCACUCCUUUAAUUUCAGGACUCGGGAGACACAAUCAGGUCUAUCUCUGAGUUUGAAGCCAGCCUAUGCCACAGGGUGAGUUCCAGGACAGCCAAGGUUAUACACAGAGAAACCUUGUCUCAAACCCCCCUCCCCGAAAGAAAAAGACAAAAUAAAACGAGUGUUAAAGAAUGUAAAGGAAGUAAACUGUUGGUAAAACACUUGUUUUCAAACAUUUUGCUUCUAUCAAAUGUAGUACUUAGGUUAGGUCCCCAUUGAUGUUUAUCCUAUUGAUGGUAGUGACUAUUCUAUUAACUUUGAUUUACUAUGUAGUAAGUGCAUAAGUGCUCAUCUGAAUUUCUUUUAAUGAUGUUUUUAUGACAAUUUUAAGCUAUGAACUUAAAACCACCUUUUUCAAGAAAAGAUUACAUUUUUGUUUGUGAAUUAUAUUUCUCUUGGGAAGAUUUUU
rnacentral:lncRNA from 1 species